rnacentral:rRNA from 1 species
AGGACAAACGCUGGCGGCGUGCAUAAAACAUGCAAGUCGAACGGACUUCAGUCCGCAAGGACUGAAGUGAGUGGCGAACGGCUGAGUAACACGUAGGUGACCUGCCCCGAAGUUUGGGAUAACACCUCGAAAGAGGUGCUAAUACCGGAUGUGACCACCGAUUCAUUUCGGUGCUUAAAGUCGACAAGACGCUUUGGGAGGGCCUGCGGCGGAUUAGCUAGUGGUGUGGUAACGGCACACCAAGGCUUCGAUCCGUAGCUGGUCUGAGAGGAUGGCCAGCCAGACUGGGACUGAGACACGGCCCAGACUCCGUACGGGAGGCAAGCGUACGGUUAGGAUUUUGGCGACAAUGGAGGAAACUCGUA